AUUGAACGCUGGCGGCAGGCCUAACACAUGCAAGUCGAGCGGAUGAAGGGAGCUUGCGCUUCUCUUCAGCGGCGGACGGGUGAGUAAUGCCUAGGAAUCUGCCUUGUAUUGGGGACUAAGUUCGGUAACGGGGGCCAAUUCCGGAAACGGAUCAUAGGUGGAAGGUGGGGGUUCUUGAGUCUCCGCCGUUUUAGAUGACCCUAGGUCGGAUAAGCUAGUUGGUGGGGUAAGGGCUUACCAAGGCGACGAUCCAUAACUGGUCUGAGAGGAUGAUCAGCCACACUGGAACUGAGACACGGUCCAGACUCCUACGGGAGGCAGCAGUGGGGAAUAUUGGACAAUGGGCGAAAGCCUGAUCCAGCCAUGCCGCGUGUGUGAAGAAGGUCUUCGGAUUGUAAAGCACUUUAAGUUGGGAGGAACGGCAGUAAGUUAAUACCUGGCUGUUUUGACGUUACCAACAGAAUAAGCACCGGCUAACUACGUG
rnacentral:rRNA from 1 species